rfam:Thermobispora bispora DSM 43833, complete genome.
CCGACCGGCGCAUGCCGGUCGGCCCGACCCCGGUACCUGAUACGGCCGGGGCGG